rnacentral:tRNA from 1 species
GGGUGAUUAGCUCAGCUGGUUAGAGCGACUGACUGUUAAUCAGUAGGUCGUAGGUUCAAGUCCUACAUCACCCG